AGAGUGAACGCCGGCGGUAGGCCUAACACAUGCAAGUCGAACGGCAGCACAGUGGUAGCAAUACCAUGGGUGGCGAGUGGCGGACGGGUGAGGAAUACAUCGGAAUCUACCUUUUCGUGGGGGGAUAACGUAGGGAAACUUUCGCUAAUACCGCAUACGCCCUUCGGGGGAAAGCCGGGGAUCGCAAGACCUGGCGCGGAUAGAUGAGCCGAUGUCGGAUUAGCUUGUUGGUGAGGUAAUGGCUCACCAAGGCGACGAUCCGUAGCUGGUCUGAGAGGAUGAUCAGCCACACUGGAACUGAGACACGGUCCAGACUCCUACGGGAGGCAGCAGUGGGAAUAUUGGACAAUGGGCGCAAGCCUGAUCCAGCCAUACCGCGUGGGUGAAGAAGGCCGUUCGGUUGUAAAGCCCUUUUAGUUGGAAAGUAAAAGACAAGUCGGUUAAUACCCGGUUGUUCUGAACGGUACCCAAAGAAUAAGCACCGGACUAACUCGUAGCCAGCAGCCG
rnacentral:rRNA from 1 species